AUUGAACGCUGGCGGCAUGCCUUACACAUGCAAGUCGAACGGCAGCGGGCCUUCGGGUGCCGGCGAGUGGCGAACGGGUGAGUAAUGCAUCGGAACGUGCCAUUGAGUGGGGGAUAACGUAGCGAAAGUUACGCUAAUACCGCAUAUUCUGUGAGCAGGAAAGCAGGGGACCGCAAGGCCUUGCGCUCUUUGAGCGGCCGAUGUCAGAUUAGCUAGUUGGUGAGGUAAAGGCUUACCAAGGCGACGAUCUGUAGCGGGUCUGAGAGGAUGAUCCGCCACACUGGAACUGAGACACGGUCCAGACUCCUACGGGAGGCAGCAGUGGGGAAUUUUUGGACAAUGGGCGCAAGCCUGAUCCAGCCAUGCCGCGUGAGUGAAGAAGGCCUCGGUUGUAAGUACGUCUUUUUCGGGCCCGGGGUAACGGGAAAAACGUUAACGGCCGAA
rnacentral:rRNA from 1 species